GAAUGCUGACAUAAGUAACGAUAAAGCGGGUGAAAAGCCCGCUCGCCGGAAGACCAAGGGUUCCUGUCCAACGUUAAUCGGGGCAGGGUGAGUCGACCCCUAAGGCGAGGCCGAAAGGCGUAGUCGAUGGGAAACGGGUUAAUAUUCCCGUACUUGGUGUUACUGCGAAGGGGGGACGGAGAAGGCUAUGUUGGCCGGGCGACGGUUGUCCCGGUUUAAGCGUGUAGGUGUGUGUUCCAGGUAAAUCCGGUUCACUUUAACACUGAGGCGUGAUGACGAGGCACUACGGUGCUGAAGCAACAAAUGCCCUGCUUCCAGGAAAAGCCUCUAAGCAUCAGGUAACAUCAAAUCGUACCCCAAACCGACACAGGUGGUCAGGUAGAGAAUACCAAGGCGCUUGAGAGAACUCGGGUGAAGGAACUAGGCAAAAUGGUGCCGUAACUUCGGGAGAAGGCACGCUGACACGUAGGUGAAGUGAUUUACUCAUGGAGCUGAAGUCAGUCGAAGAUACCAGCUGGCUGCAA
rnacentral:rRNA from 1 species